GCCGGGCCGCGCUUGUAGUCCCAGCUACUCGGGAGGCUGAAGCCAGAGGAUCGCUUGAGUCUAGGAGUUCUGGGCUGUUGUGCGCUAUGCCAAUCAGGAGUACACACUAAGUUCGGCAUCAAUAUGGUGACUCCUGGGAGCAGGGGACCACCAGGUUGCCUAAGGAGGGGUGAACCAGCCCAGGUUGGAAACGGAGCAGGUCAAAACUCCCGUGCUGAUCAGAAGGGAAAGUUCUCAAUGUUACCAGUAAGUUAAUAUUGGUUGUAGGAAUUU
ensembl:misc_RNA Metazoa_SRP Metazoan signal recognition particle RNA